rnacentral:rRNA from 1 species
ACGUAGGUGGCAAGCGUUGUCCGGAAUUAUUGGGCGUAAAGCGCGCGCAGGUGGUUCCUUAAGUCUGAUGUGAAAGCCCACGGCUCAACCGUGGAGGGUCAUUGGAAACUGGGGAACUUGAGUACAGAAGAGGAAAGUGGAAUUCCAAGUGUAGCGGUGAAAUGCGUAGAGAUUUGGAGGAACACCAGUGGCGAAGGCGACUUUCUGGUCUGUAACUGACACUGAGGCGCGAAAGCGUGGGGAGCAAACAGGAUUAGAUACCCUGGUAGUCCACGCCGUAAACGAUGAGUGCUAAGUGUUAGAGGGUUUCCGCCCUUUAGUGCUGCAGCUAACGCAUUAAGCACUCCGCCUGGGGAGUACGGCCGCAAGGCUG